AUUGAACGCUGGCGGCAGGCCUAACACAUGCAAGUCGAGCGAGCGGCGGACGGGUGAGUAAUGUCUGGGAAACUUCCUGAUGGAGGGGGAUAACUACUGGAAACGGUAGCUAAUACCACAUACCAUCAUAUGUGCCCAGAUGGGAUUAGCUAGUAGGUGGGGUAACGGCUCACUUAGGCGACGAUCCCUAGCGGGUCUGAGAGGAUGACCAGGCACACUGGAACUGAGACACGGUCCUGACUCCUACGGGAGGCAGCAGUGGGGAAUAUUGCACAAUGGGCGAAAGCCUGAUGCAGCCAUGCCGCGUGUGUGAAGGAGGCCUUCGGGUUGUAAAGCACUAUCAGCGGGGAGGCGUUACCCGCAGAAGAAGCACCGGCUAACUCCGUGCCAGCAGCCGCGGUAAUAC
rnacentral:rRNA from 1 species